ACUCCCUCUCUCUCUCUAAAGCUAUUUUCCUCUCUCUCUCUUCAAAGGUAGAAAUAGGAGAGGCAUUGGUAGAGAAGCAAGCAAGGAAGUGAAGCAUCACCUUCUUCAUCAUCUUCCUUGGGUUGGAGCUAGCUUAUUGAGGUUUUCCGACGCGUUGGCGAAGUCAGUUCGGCGAUCCGUCGAGCCGGCGUAAAGAUAUUGGCAAAAAAGGACGUUGUAGCUUCGUUUUCGCCUGGAGGGCCGAGGCGGCGGCCUAAAAUCGCGGAAUCAAGUUUCUAGCAUCGUGAUAUCACUAAGAGACCUAGUGGAGAGAUCGGCGGAGUCGGCGGUCGAACCCACUGGGAACUAUGGACAAUAGUUCUCACCCCACUUUGUUGCAGGGCCGAGUUCGAGCACUCCGGACGAGGACCGCGGGAAGGGCAUAGCGCCCUAGUAGUUAGUAGCUUUUCCAUAUCUGUAUUAGAGUACCCUCGUGUAUAUAGGUGAUGUUCAUAUUAUGAGGAUUUUGGAGAGCUACUCUUGUAUAUAGAUGAUGAACUUGUAUGUAUCAUUUUGGGAGAUGGAAAUGUAAUUAAAAUUGUGAAUGGUUGAAUGAUAAUGUAAUAGCUAGA